UUAUUAAUCUCUUGGAGAGUCUCAUACAUAUAAGAGUACCUUUUGAGAAUAAGUGCCUUAUAGGUUAAGGACAUCAUUGCACAAAGAAGAUGCCUUUUAGGUUAAGGACAUCUGCACAAGGACGGACUGAAGGACCAGAGUAUACAAGAAAAUAUGGGAACUUUUGGUGGAAAUAUUACUUCAGAAUUUCAUUCUGAUAAAGUACUUGAAAAUGUUUCUUCAGCUGCUGAUGGUACGGUGGGUUCAUGGAUUUGUCCUUCUGAUUAAAUAUUUUGUAGUGUAAUCAAGAAUCACAAUUAGGAGACACAAUGAAUAUUUUGUUUUUGCCUAUGAAAUGCAU
rnacentral:lncRNA from 1 species